rnacentral:ncRNA from 1 species
UCCGCCAACUCUGGAGAGCGGCGCUUCGAGCGCCCACCGAAGGGGCUAACGGACGACGCUCGCUCGAGCGGCGCGCCGGAAAAUCUCAGGUGACGGGACAGAGGGGUGUGU